rnacentral:rRNA from 1 species
GAUGAACGCUAGCGGCAGGCUUAACACAUGCAAGUCGAGGGGUAUAGGUUUUCGGACCUAGAGACCGGCGCACGGGUGCGUAACGCGUAUGCAAUCUACCUUUUACAGAGGGAUAGCCCAGAGAAAUUUGGAUUAAUACCUCAUAGUAUAAUGAUUCGGCAUCGAGACAUUAUUAAAGUUCCAACGGUAAAAGAUGAGCAUGCGUCCCAUUAGCUAGAUGGUAAGGUAACGGCUUACCAUGGCGACGAUGGGUAGGGGUCCUGAGAGGGAGAUCCCCCACACUGGUACUGAGACACGGACCAGACUCCUGCGGGAGGCAGCAGUGAGGAAUAUUGGUCAAUGGGCGCAAGCCUGAACCAGCCAUGCCGCGUGCAGGAUGACGGUCCUAUGGAUUGUAAACUGCUUUUGUACAGGAAGAAACACUGGUUCGUGAACCAGCUUGACGGUACUGUAAGAAUAAGGAUCGGCUAACUCCGUGCCAGCCGCCGCGGUAA